rnacentral:rRNA from 1 species
AACGAACGCUGGCGGCGCGCUUAACACAUGCAAGUCGAACGAGAAGCUGUAGCAAUACAGUUGUAAAGUGGCAAACGGGUGAGUAAUGCGUGGGUAAUCUACCCUAGGGUGGGGAAUAACUCCUCGAAAGGGGAGCUAAUGCCGACAUGUGCGCCACUCUCGCAAGGGAGUGAUGGAAAGCCGUACCGUGGGUGCGGCGCCCAAGGAUGAGCUCACGUCCUAUCAGCUUGUUGGCGGGUAACGCCACCAGGCUGCGACGGUAGCCGGUCUGAGAGGACGACCAGCCACACUGGCACUGCGACACGGGCCAGACUCCGUACGGGAGGCAGCAGUGAGGAAUAUUGCGCAAUGGACGACAGUCUGACGCAGCGACGCCG